rnacentral:rRNA from 1 species
GACGAACGCUGGCGGCGUGCUUAACACAUGCAAGUCGAACGGAAAGGCCCUGCUUUUGUGGGGUGCUCGAGUGGCGAACGGGUGAGUAACACGUGAGUAACCUGCCCUUGACUUUGGGAUAACUUCAGGAAACUGGGGCUAAUACCGGAUAGGAGCUCCUGCUGCAUGGUGGGGGUUGGAAAGUUUCGGCGGUUGGGGAUGGACUCGCGGCUUAUCAGCUUGUUGGUGGGGUAGUGGCUUACCAAGGCUUUGACGGGUAGCCGGCCUGAGAGGGUGACCGGGAACAGUGGGAGUGAGGGACGGCCGGGACGCCGACGGGAGGCAGCAGGGGGGGAGCGUGAGGAAUGGGCGGAGGCCGGAUGCAGCAUCGCCGGGUGCGGGAGGGCGGGCGUGGGUAUGGAAAACAGUUGCGCCUGUGACGAAGCGGGAGUGAGGGUAGUUGGUAGAGAAGCACCGGCUAACUUCGUC